GCCCCCACCCCCCUCUCUCGCGGAACGCACGCCCGGGAGCACAUUUCUCCCUGUCCUGCUGCUCGCCCGCUCUCCCUGCCGCACUGCUGCUUGCUUGCUUCCCCAAUCCCCCAAAUCCCUAAACCGUAGGACUGAAAUCCCCCCAAAUCAAGAACAAGAGCUAGCAGAUCCGCCCUACCGGCAAGCUGCGCGCGCCCGCGGGGAGGCUGGGAGGCCGGCCGCCGGCUGCUGGGCAUGACCAUGAGGGCCUGACCGCCUGAGGGCGAGGCGACGAGGCCGCGAGGGCGAUGACCGAGCGGCCGACCGGCGAGGAGGAAGAUCUGAGGAAGUUGUAAAAUGAAGAAGAAAUCAAUUGAUUUGAAAACAUUAUGGGAUAGACAUUCAAAGUCAAGAAAGAUAGGCUCCACAUCAAUGCCGCAGCCGGUUACCAUUGAGAGUGAAGCAGUUCCUGUUCCAGAUGUUUCUUUUGUUCGGCCAGUUAAAGUUGGGAGUGAAGUUCAGAUUCAUAGUGUUGAGGUUGAGCCUGAGAUAGCAGCCACUGAUAUAGCAAGAAAUGGGACAGAACCUGAACCAGAAGUAGCUAGCAAUGAACCUGACAUAGCAAGCACAUCAAUAGUAGCAGUGACAGAAGAGGAGCAACAGCAACCAGCCAGUUCCACUUGGUCUCCUAUCAGAGAUGGUGAUGACUCAGAGGCAGAGUAUGAAUCAAGUGAGGAAGCUAUUUACGAUAUUGAUUUACUUCCUCACGAUCCUGGAAGGAGGAUUCCAAUCAAAAGAUAUGAUGUCAAUGAACGGAAUGAACGGAAUUCUGUGAUAAGGGGAUACAUUGCAUUGGGUCCAUGUCAACCACGCAACCACAAUUUUCCUUAUUGAGCGCGAGUUCUUUUUGCAGGUGAAGGAAUGUGAUAUCAUUAAUCGCUUCCAAGCCAUGAAGGAACGCAAAAUUAAAGCUACCCUUAGAACCCAGGAAGCAACAGAAAGUUAGAGUACUUUGUAAUCUUAUUUAUGUAUUUUGUAAGUUUUUUAUUUUAUUUUCAUGGAUAUUUUAGAACUGAUUUAUUCAAGAACUUGUACCAUUAUUUUUUUCUAUUUAUCAGUUUGACAUAUCGGAA